rnacentral:rRNA from 1 species
UACGUAGGGUGCAAGCGUUGUCCGGAAUUAUUGGGCGUAAAGAGCUCGUAGGCGGUCUGUCGCGUCUGCUGUGAAAAUCCGGGGCUCAACCCCGGACUUGCAGUGGGUACGGGCAGACUAGAGUGUGGUAGGGGAGACUGGAACUCCUGGUGUAGCGGUGAAAUGCGCAGAUAUCAGGAGGAACACCGAUGGCGAAGGCAGGUCUCUGGGCCACUACUGACGCUGAGAAGCGAAAGCAUGGGGAGCGAACAGG